rnacentral:rRNA from 2 species
CCUGAUGCAGCGACGCCGCGUGAGGGAUGACGGCCUUCGGGUUGUAAACCUCUUUCGACAGGGACGAAGCGAGAGUGACGGUACCUGUAGAAGAAGCACCGGCCAACUACGUGCCAGCAGCCGCGGUAAUACGUAGGGUGCGAGCGUUGUCCGGAAUUACUGGGCGUAAAGAGCUUGUAGGCGGUCUGUCGCGUCUUCUGUGAAAACUUGGGGCUCAACCUUAAGCUUGCAGGGGAUACGGGCAGACUAGAGUACUUCAGGGGAGACUGGAAUUCCUGGUGUAGCGGUGAAAUGCGCAGAUAUCAGGAGGAACACCGGUGGCGAAGGCGGGUCUCUGGGAAGUAACUGACGCUGAGAAGCGAAAGCGUGGGUAGCGAACAGGAUUAGAUACCCUGGUAGUCCACGCCGUAAACGGUGGGUACUAGGUGUGGGUUUCCUUCCACGGGAUCCGUGCCGUAGCUAACGCAUUAAGUACCCCGCCUGGGGAGUACGGCCGCAAGGCUAAAACUCAGAGGAAUUGACGGGGGCCCGCACAAGCGGCGGAGCAUGUGGAUUAAUUCGAUGCAACGCGAAGAACCUUACCUGGGUUUGACAUACACCGGAAACCUGCAGAGAUGUACGCCCCCUUGUGGUC